CGCACGGGUGCGUAACACGUAUGCAACCUACCUUAUACUGGGGAAUAACUUCGAGAAAUCGGCGCUAAUACCCCAUAACACUGCGAAGAGGCAUCUCUUUGCAUUUAAAGCUCCGGCGGUAUAAGAUGGGCAUGCGUCCAAUUAGCUAGUUGGUGAGGUAACGGCUCACCAAGGCUACGAUUGGUAGGGGUUCUGAGAGGAUGAUCCCCCACACUGGUACUGAGACACGGACCAGACUCCUACGGGAGGCAGCAGUGAGGAAUAUUGCGCAAUGGACGAAAGUCUGACGCAGCCAUGCCGCGUGCAGGAUGACGGCCCUAUGGGUUGUAAACUGCUUUUGUAUGGGAAUAAACCCUUCUACGUGUAGAAGGCUGAAGGUACCAUAAGAAUAAGCACCGGCUAACUCCGUGCCAGCAGCCGCGGUAAUACGGAGGGUGCAAGCGUUAUCCGGAUUUAUUGGGUUUAAAGGGUCCGUAGGCGGGCCGAUAAGUCAGUGGUGAAAGCCCAUAGCUCAACUAUGGAACUGCCAUUGAUACUGUCGGUCUUGAGUAUAUGUGAUGUUGGCGGAAUGUGUAGUGUAGCGGUGAAAUGCUUAGAUAUUACACAGAACACCGAUUGCGAAGGCAGCUGACAAAUAUAUAACUGACGCUGAGGGACGAAAGUGUGGGGAUCAAACAGGAUUAGAU
rnacentral:rRNA from 1 species